GACGGACGCUGGCGGCGUGCUUAACACGUGCAAGUCGAACGGAAAGGCCCUGCUUGCAGGGUACUCGAGUGGCGAACGGGUGAGUAACACGUGGGUGAUCUGCCCUGCACUUCGGGAUAAGCCUGGGAAACUGGGUCUAAUACCGGAUAGGAGCCAUUUUUAGUGUGAUGGUUGGAAAGUUUUUUCGGUGUAGGAUGAGCUCGCGGCCUAUCAGCUUGUUGGUGGGGUAAUGGCCUACCAAGGCGGCGACGGGUAGCCGGCCUGAGAGGGUGGACGGCCACAUUGGGACUGAGAUACGGCCCAGACUCCUACGGGAGGCAGCAGUGGGGAAUAUUGCACAAUGGGCGCAAGCCUGAUGCAGCGACGCCGCGUGGGGGAUGACGGCCUUCGGGUUGUAAACUCCUUUCGCUAGGGACGAAGCUUUUUGUGACGGUACCUAGAGAAGAAGCACCGGCUAACUACGUG
rnacentral:rRNA from 1 species